rnacentral:rRNA from 1 species
UACGUAGGGGGCAAGCGUUGUCCGGAUUUAUUGGGCGUAAAGAGCUCGUAGGCGGCUUGGCAAGUCGGGUGUGAAAACUUCAGGCUCAACCUGGAGCGGCCACUCGAUACUGCUAUGGCUUGAGUCCGGUAGGGGACCACGGAAUUCCUGGUGUAGCGGUGAAAUGCGCAGAUAUCAGGAGGAACACCAGUGGCGAAGGCGGUGGUCUGGGCCGGAACUGACGCUGAGGAGCGAAAGCGUGGGGAUCAAACAGG